rnacentral:rRNA from 1 species
ACGCUGGCGGCGUGCCUAAUACAUGCAAGUCGAACGAUGAAGCUUCUAGCUUGCUAGAAGUGGAUUAGUGGCGCACGGGUGAGUAACGCAUAGGUCAUGUGCCUCUUAGUUUGGGAUAGCCAUUGGAAACGAUGAUUAAUACCAGAUACUCCCUACGGGGGAAAGAUUUAUCGCUAAGAGAUCAGCCUAUGUCCUAUCAGCUUGUUGGUAAGGUAAUGGCUUACCAAGGCUAUGACGGGUAUCCGGCCUGAGAGGGUGAACGGACACACUGGAACUGAGACACGGUCCAGACUCCUACGGGAGGCAGCAGUAGGGAAUAUUGCUCAAUGGGGGAAACCCUGAAGCAGCAACGCCGCGUGGAGGAUGAAGGUUUUAGGAUUGUAAACUCCUUUUGUUAGAGAAGAUAAUGACGGUAUCUAACGAAUAAGCACCGGCUAACUCCGUGCCAGCAGCCGCGGUAAUACGGAGGGUGCAAGCGUUACUCGGAAUCACUGGGCGUAAAGAGCGCGUAGGCGGGAUAGUCAGUCAGGUGUGAAAUCCUAUGGCUUAACCAUAGAACUGCAUUUGAAACUACUAUUCUAGAGUGUGGGAGAGGUAGGUGGAAUUCUUGGUGUAGGGGUAAAAUCCGUAGAGAUCAAGAGGAAUACUCAUUGCGAAGGCGACCUGCUGGAACAUUACUGACGCUGAUUGCGCGAAAGCGUGGGGAGCAAACAGGAUUAGAUACCCUGGUAGUCCACGCCCUAAACGAUGGAUGCUAGUUGUUGGAGGGCUUAGUCUCUCCAGUAAUGCAGCUAACGCAUUAAGCAUCCCGCGUGGGGAGUACGGUCGCAAGAUUAAAACUCAAAGGAAUAGACGGGGACCCGCACAAGCGGUGGAGCAUGUGGUUUAAUUCGAGGAUACACGAAGAACCUUACCUAGGCUUGACAUUGAGAGAAUCCGCUAGAAAUAGUGGAGUGUCUAGCUUGCUAGACCUUGAAAACAGGUGCUGCACGGCUGUCGUCAGCUCGUGUCGUGAGAUGUUGGGUUAAGUCCCGCAACGAGCGCAACCCCCUUUCUUAGUUGCUAACAGGUCAUGCUGAGAACUCUAAGGAUACUGCCUCUGUAAGGAGGAGGAAGGUGGGGACGACGUCAAGUCAUCAUGGCCCUUACGCCUAGGGCUACACACGUGCUACAAUGGGGUGCACAAAGAGAAGCAAUACUGCGAAGUGGAGCCAAUCUUCAAAACGCCUCUCAGUUCGGAUUGUAGGCUGCAACUCGCCUGCAUGAAGCUGGAAUCGCUAGUAAUCGCAAAUCAGCCAUGUUGCGGUGAAUACGUUCCCGGGUCUUGUACUCACCGCCCGUCACACCAUGGGAGUUGUGUUUGCCUUAAGUCAGGAUGCUAA